rnacentral:lncRNA from 1 species
GGGAGCUAUAAGGACCAUCAAGCCUGGAGCUGCCAUUAGCAACUUCAUCCUGCCUCCCGGGGAGAGCCUGCAUGAGAAUGCCAGGCAGAUGUUAAAAAUGGCAUUGCAGGAAAAUAUUUAAUGAUCUGGAGAGAUGUCCAUGAUACCUCCUUGCAUUCAAAAAAAACAAGCUACAAAACAGUACAUACCCUAUUACUUGCUAUAUCUCUGCUCAUAUCUAUUCAUGUGCAAAUAACAAAAUGGAUGAUAGAUGCCAAGAUAUUAACAGUGGUUCUCUCUGUACCCCAGGCCCUGCCUACCCAGUUGGUGCCGGUGGCCACAGCCAUCAUGCCCGGUGUGAGUAGUCACCUGACCCCAGCUGGCUCAUCUGAUCAUCGCACACAGGAAUGUGACACAAGAGAAGAAGGAACUGGGUGAGAAUGAACUGAAAGGGCAGCAGGGUGGAGCAGCCAGGCCGGGCUGUGGAAAGGCAGAGAAAGCCAGAGGAGAAAGCAGACGGAGAGGAACUUCGACGUCUGGGAUUUGCUUCAAAAUAACCCACUGGGGCGGGUGUCGAUGAAACAGAAUUGGAUGAGCUGAUCACUUUCGAAGCUGGGCAUUGCGGCAAGUAGGAACCUGGCCAGAGCUGAGGAGUGAGCUGACAACAGAUGUGAAGGUGCAGGCAGUGAGCCCCGAGACACACACAUAAGGAGCCCGGAAGCCCUCCCCGUGGCCCCACCGCCAACCACGCUCCCUCCCCACCCCUCUCCCUGUUGACUCCCAUGUCGUCCAAGAACCCUCGGCUCUGAGUAAUAAAUGUGCCUCUCGGCGGGACAUGUGUUUCC